rnacentral:rRNA from 1 species
UACGGAGGGUGCGAGCGUUGUCCGGAAUCACUGGGCGUAAAGGGCGCGUAGGCGGCGCGAGUAGUCACCGGUGAAAGCCCGGGGCUCAACCCCGGGUCGGCCGUCGAUACUCUCGUGCUUGAGCACUGUAGAGGCAGGUGGAAUUCCGGGUGUAGCGGUGGAAUGCGUAGAGAUCCGGAAGAACACCGGUGGCGAAGGCGGCCUGCUGGGCAGUAGCUGACACUGAGGCGCGACAGCGUGGGGAGCAAACAGG